GGACGAGUGGCGGAGUGGUUGAACGCGGCGGUCUUGAAAACCGCAGGCGCCGAAAGGCGCUCGUAGGUUCGAAUCCUACCUCGUCCG
rnacentral:tRNA from 1 species